GUUUCCUUGGCCAAUUCUUCAUUUUCCUUCAAAGUGCUGCAUGCCACUCGAGGCUCGGCAGCUCAGGACCUGAGCGUCACCUGUAGCUCCCUGCAUGCCGUGUGCACUGGGCUCCCGACGUUCUUCAGGCCGUCCUCUCGGAGAAGCUGUUGGAAGACUUUCAUCAGGAGGACCUUUGUUCUUGUCACAUCACAGGCUGUGCUGCACCUGCCAGAGCUGGCGAAGGCCCAUGUGGCCCGUGGGGCCUCCCAGCCAUCCUUCCUCAGGGGCUAGAAAACUGCACUCUGUACAAAGGAUGUGUCUCAAGGGCAUGUAUCUUCAUCGUCUUGAACCCCCACCAGCAGGAGCUGCCCUUGGUUCCCUGCUGGCCGGUCUGCUUCAGACAGAGAGGGGGACGCUACCUCUGCUCUGGUCCAGUCCCAUCCUCAGCCAGGUGCUUUGUGUUUCAGUUUGGGGACUGGGCCUUCCGAGAGUUCCCCCUUUACUCAGAAGAUGGAGCCUCUUAGUCUGGGACAAGGUGUGUUCCUGUCCCUUCCCCCACUGCCCCUCGCCCUAGCUGCAGAGUGGCUCGCUGUGCCCUGAGGUAAUGGGGCUCCCUGGCCUUCCCACACCCAGUGAAGGCUCCUUUCUGUGUGGGGGAUGGUGGCCUUCCCGCCCUUCUCAGGAGGGAGCUGCUGUCAGACCCCAGGCUUGUACCACCAGAAAGCAGUUCUCUGGUCUGAAUCCUGGACUUCAGUUUGUCAGAACCCUGGGAGGCCAAUGGGCAAAAGCCUAGAGACAUAUCAAAUUUGCUAAGUGUGUGACUCUCAGGGCCUCCCAGUCCUCAAUGAGCCUUCAGUCAUUUGUUAACAAUUGUAGCUGAAUUAUUCCUUCUGGUUUAUAAAGCCUCUGGCAUCUGAAUCCCUGAUUUCCUUGGAGGAGUCUGUAUUUCCCUAGAUUUUUGGGUUGACAACUUGCUCUCACCCUUCAACUUUGAUGGAUUCCAGAGAAGUGAUUUGGGCGAUCCAGCUUUUCAAAAUCUUAUGUGUGGGAGUGAGCUCUUUCCAAUUUUCUAUGUUCCAGUCUGAACUUGCCAAAAAUAUUAUCUUUCUCUCAACAGCCUGAGUUUAUUUCAGUUUACUGGUCAUCCAAGAAAUAACAAGACAAAUAGCCCAAACACAUUAUCCAGAUGACAUAAAGCACAAAUACUUAAGGGCUUUUAAACACUUAAGAACACCACGGAAGUAGAAGGUCAGCAUGUCCAGCACGGCCAACUCAUGAUAAGACAAGCAUGGAACAUUCUAGCAGGAAUAGUAGGAAAGGAAUCUGGAUACAUGAUUCCAGAACACUCUAUUAAGUCCACACACUAUAAAUUCCCAUGAUUUCUUGUUGUAGAUUUGCCGUAGGACCCUCGGUGUGAACUUCAUGGUUAUUAGCAUAUGCUUGACUCCAAAAGAUAACUGUGUAGAUUCAGAUUUCAUCAAGUAGGAUUACAACUAAUACUUUUGGAUACUAAAAACAUUUUUAUGCCAAAGAAAUCCAUAACCUUUAAGAAUAAUUUGAUGCCUGAACUGAAU
ensembl:lncRNA